GUAUUGCUUCGGCAAUACAUAUACUAAAAUUGGAACGAUACAAAGAAGAUUAGCAUGGCCCCUGUGCAAGGAUGACAUGAAAAUUCGUGACGCCGUUCCUCAUUAA